GAUGAACGCUGGCGGCGUGCCUAAUACAUGCAAGUCGAGCGAAUGGAUUAAGAGCUUGCUCUUAUGAAGUUAGCGGCGGACGGGUGAGUAACACGUGGGUAACCUGCCCAUAAGACUGGGAUAACUCCGGGAAACCGGGGCUAAUACCGGAUAACAUUUUGAACCGCAUGGUUCGAAAUUGAAAGGCGGCUUCGGCCGUCACUUAUGGAUGGACCCGCGUCGCAUUAGCUAGUUGGUGAGGUAACAGCACACCAAGGCAACGAUGCGUAGCCGACCUGAGAGGGUGAUCGGCCACACUGGGACUGAGACACGGCCCAGACUCCUACGGGAGGCAGCAGUAGGGAAUCUUCCGCAAUGGACGAAAGUCUGACGGAGCAACGCCGCGUGAGUGAUGAAGGCUUUCGGGUCGUAAAACUCUGUUGUUAGGGAAGAACAAGUGCUAGUUGAAUAAGCUGGCACCUUGACGGUACCUAACCAGAAAGCCACGGCUAACUACGUGCCAGCCGCCGCAGUAA
rnacentral:rRNA from 1 species